GAUUAGUAUUAUAAAAUUUUAAAUGAUUUUCAUCCUUAACCCCCAAAACCACGCUUGGAUUCACCACAAUUGGACCAGUGUAAUCUGCACUAGUAGUGAUGAACUACUACUCUUUCAAUUCACCACUAUUCUCUUCCUCUUCUCCUUCUUCAUCUCCCACACUUCCACCCUCAAAUCCCCCCAAAUGGCGAAUCACUUAUUAUCCCAUAAUCUCCACCGUCUCUUCUUCCCUCCGCCGCCACCACCGCCGUCGCCGCCGCAGCAGCCCCGAAACCCCCACAAAACCCAAACCCUCGCCGCCGUCCGAUGAUCAGAAUCUCCAAAUGGUAAUCGACAUCGAACACUUGUCGAACAAAGCCUCACUGUCCCUAAAAAGGCUAUUGAGUUCAUCCCAAUUGAGGUUCAAUCAAUUCGUUCAAUCGGGUAAUGAAGCUCUCGGUGAUUUGCAGACUUUGAUCACCUUCGAUCCCAAUCGGAGGGUUAUUGUUUCUUGUCGUCAGUCCACGCUUCAUUUUAUUGGCAAUUUGCUUCUCUGGAGCUGUGUAAUUGUAUUUGGUUUUAGGGUUUUGGUGAAAUUAGGGUUAGGGUUUUGGGGUCGAUUAGGGUUUGGUAAUAGCAGUGGGGUGAUAAUGAGGAGAGACCGUAGUCUUGGGGGUAGAGAAGUAGUUGUUGCAAGAAAAACGGACACACAUAGUGAUCGUAACUUUAGGGUUCUGGAAAAUCCUCUAUCGGAGACUGCGGUGAGAGCUUCGGAGGUAAUGCCGAAGAAUUGGGUUCGGAGGGCGAAGGAGAAGAAGUUGCCGAGUUGGUGGCCGGUUUUGCUUCCCCCUCCUGUUUUGAAUGAUGACAAGCAGGAGUAUCAGAGAAUGGCUCACAGAUUAAUUCGAGCAAUCAUGGACUAUAGAAUAAAUGGAAGAGACAUCUCAGAGGAAGAUAUAUUUCAAUUCCGUCGAUUAUGCAGGACAUCUGGAGCAAGGGUGUCCUUUGAUACAACCAAUGCCCGGGAUUCAUUUUAUCGUGCAUCGAUUGACUUUGUUUUCAACAUUUGUGGCAGUUGUUACUUGAUUUCAUUUUUCCCAGUGUGGCAAAUCCAUUUACUUCUGUUUACAUUGACGGCGAGGAUGCCCGGCAAUUCAUUGCUGGGCUUGCUGAUAACAUUGGUCUUGAGAACACUCGUGCUGCAAGAAUCGUUUCUGGAGCUGUUGCUGCUCGCACACGAUCAUGUUUUUUGCAGGCUUGGGCUUUUGAGAUGCAAGGCAAACAUUCUGAAGCAGUGGCGGAACUGUCAAAGAUAUGUCUCAUUCACCAGAUAUUUCCUCCAGAAGAAUGCUCACCUGAGAUGGAGAUGGUUGCUCGUGGCCUUGAGAAGCAUUUAAAAGUAGAACAAAGGAAAUUUUUGAUGGACACGCUUGUUGAGGUUUGUGGCAAAGGGAGCCAUAGAAGUAUGGCAGAAGCUCUGGGUCUGGUACCCUCACCUGAAGAAGGUGUUAGCAAUGAGCAAGGAAACAAGGUAACAUAGAUAAUACUGUGAGACAGUGAAUUGUUUUCUAUUAGCAAAUGAAAAUUAGCAUUGCAUAUGCAUAUGAGCUGAUUAUUAUUCAUAGUUGUUAUUACCCUAUUAAUUAAUAGGCCCCAAAGGGUGUUCUUUGGCUUUAUACAAAUUGUAAUUCCCAAAUAAUGAAUCAUCAUAAAAUUAAUGCAAAGUCUUCCCUUUCUUGUUCUGCUCCA